ensembl:miRNA
GAGUCAGAAUUCUCAUCAGGCUGUGAUGCUCUGUUGUGUGUAGAUUGAAAGCCCUAAUUUACACACAACUGAACAUCAUAGCCUGAUGGUUCCUUUUUGUUU